CCUACGGGUGGCAGCAGUGAGGAAUAUUGGUCAAUGGACGCAAGUCUGAACCAGCCAAGCCGCGUGCAGGAAGACGGCGCUAGGAGUGGUAAACUGCUGUUGUACGAGGGUAAAUCCCGAUACGUGUAUCGGGUUGAAAGUACCGUACGAAUAAGGACCGGCUAACUCCGUGCCAGCAGCCGCGGUAAUACGGAGGAUUCAAGCGUUAUCCGGAUUUAUUGGGUUUAAAGGGUGCGUAGGCGGUUCGUUAAGUUAGAGGUGAAAUCCCGGGGCUCAACUCCGGCACUGCCUCUGAUACUGUCGGGCUAGAGUUUAGUUGCGGUAGGCGGAAUGUAUGUUGUAGCGGUGAACUGCCUAGAGAUCAUUCAGAACCCCGAUUGCGAAGGCAGCUUACCAAACUACGACUGACGUUGAGGCACGAAAGCGUGGGUAGCAAACAGGAUUAGAUACCCCUGUAGUC
rnacentral:rRNA from 1 species